GGCUGGUUUGAGGGCAGUGAUGUUUACAACUAAUUGAUCACAACCAGUUACAGAUUCCUUUUCUUCUCCACUCCCACUGCUUCACUUGACCGGCCUUUA
ensembl:misc_RNA Y_RNA Y RNA